rnacentral:lncRNA from 1 species
CCAAAAAAACCCUAGGUCGUCUCUAAAAUAGAAGAUCAAAGAUCUAAGCUAAAAUUUCUCAAUAUCUUUCUCUUAUUUCAUACCAGUAACUGAAGCCUCGAACAAGUAAAUGAUUUUCUUCUAUUUCUUUUUUCCUUUUCUCUUUAUUGGCAGUGGAUUUUCUUCUAUUUUUUCUUUCUUUUUUCUUUAGUGACUCGAUGUAAUUGGCAGUGAAUUCGUCUGGUUCUAUUCACAAAAGACAAUGAAUUCGCUAAAUGGACCGAUUAUUUGUCACUGUAGGAUCAAUGCUCUAUUGAAAACAUCAUGGUCAGAGAGAAACUGAGGUCGUCGAUUUUAUCGCUGCAGAAUUGAUGAAGUAAGCACAUGAAUUUAUCGUCGUUGUUAAAUUGUUCUUAUUAGUUGCUAAUUUUACAAAUUGUAUCUUUUUUUGGUCUAUUUUUUGCAGGAGAAAGGUGGAUGCAAAUUUUUUAUGUGGUAUGAACCUCAAUUUCCAGUUCAAGCUACAAGGGUGAUAAGGGGGUUGUUGAAGAAGGUCAAAAAGAAUGAUGCAACUGAACUUAAUGCUAAAAGGUGGAAAAAAUAUUGCUUGGUGUUAGUUAUGAUAUUUAUAUUGUGGGUUUGGAAUGGUAUUACUGGUUGAUCGUAUUAGUAACAACACACUGUAUUUAUUAUGCUCGUCCGCCUUAUUUUGCUGAAGAAGAAGUACAAAAGAACAAGCAUGAACUUUGUAAUAGUACUAAAACUAUCUCUACUGAUGUUUGCACUUACCUAGCAAGUAUGGGCAGUAGUAAUGCCCUAAAGAUUAUGUCCUCCUCUUGUAAUUUGUUUUAAGAAAUAUAAGUAUCGUACUUUUAUGUUAAAAAAACACAUUGUAUUAGGUAUCACUGGUUGUAAUUGGGACAUAAAUUGUACCCAAAUUUUGGACUAUGUAUUCAAUCAAUGAUAAUGGUAUUUUGGGG